ACGAGCGGCGAACGGGUGAGUAACACGUGGGUGACCUGCCCUCCACUUCGGGAUAAGCCUGGGAAACUGGGUCUAAUACCGGAUAUGACCAUGCGAUGCAUGUUGUGUGGUGGAAAGUUUUGUCGGUGGGGGAUGGGCCCGCGGUCUAUCAGCUUGUUGGUGGGGUGAUGGCCUACCAAGGCGACGACGGAUAGCCGGCCUGAGAGGGUGAUCGGCCACACUGGGACUGAGACACGGCCCAG
rnacentral:rRNA from 1 species